GAAAAGCGAUAAGUAGUGUGAAUUGCAGAAUUCAGAGAAUCAUCGAAUCUUUGAACGCACAUUGCGCCCCUUAGCAUUCCAUGGGGCAUGCCUGUUAGAGCGUGAUUUGUACCCUCAAGCUUUGCUUGGUGUUGGGCGUCUUGUCCUCUACUGGAGGACUCGCCUCAAAACAAUUGGCAGCCGGCAUAUUUGUAUCGGAGCGCAGCACAAGUCGCACUUUGUUCCAUGAAUGUUGGCAUCCAUCAAUACCAUUUUUUCACUCUUGACCUCGGAUCAGGUAGGGAUACCCGCUGAACUUAA
rnacentral:misc_RNA from 1 species